UACAGAGGUCUCAAGCGUUGUUCGGAUUCAUUGGGCGUAAAGGGUGCGUAGGCGGCGCGGUAAGUCGGGUGUGAAAUCUCGGAGCUUAACUCCGAAACUGCAUUCGAUACUGCCGUGCUUGAGGACUGGAGAGGGAUGUGGAAUUCCAGGUGUAGCGGUGAAAUGCGUAGAUAUCUGGAGGAACAUCGGUGGCGAAGGCGGCAUCCUGGACCGGUAUUGACGCUGAGGCGCGAAAGCCAGGGGAGCAAACGGG
rnacentral:rRNA from 1 species